AACAUGGCUUGAAUGAACCGCCCAGCUCCUGUAGAAGUCAUAUACAAGAACAUGAGAUUUCUUAUUACACACAAUCCAACCAAUGCGACCUUAAACAAAUUUAUAGAGGAACUUAAGAAAUAUGGAGCUACCACACUAGUAAGAGUAUAUGAAGCAACUUAUGACGCUACUCUUGUGGAGAAAGAAGGUAUCCAUGUUCUUGACUGGCCUUUUGAUAAUGGUGCACCACCAUCUAACCAGAUUGUUGAUGACUGGUUAAGUCUUAUAAAAAUCAAGUUUCGUGAAGAACCUGGUUGUUGUAUUGCUGUUCAUUGUGUUGCAGGCCUUGGGAGAGCUCCAGUGCUUGUUGCUCUCGCAUUAAUCGAAGGUGGAAUGAAAUACAAAGAUGCAGUACAAGUCAUAAGACAAAAGUGGCGUGGAGCUUUUAACAGCAAGCAACUUUUGGAUUUGGAGAAGUAUCGUCCUAAGAUGCGGCUGCGCUUCAAAGACUCCAAUGGUCAUAGAAACAACUGUUGCAUUCAAUAAAACUGAGGUGCCCGAUAUUAUUGCCUUAGAAGUAAAAUUUGACACAGGACCUAAUAUGUCAUAUGUAUUAGCCAACAUGUUGGCUUGGUGAAUAAGUCUAAUGAAGCUUCCAUAAGAGUAUUGUAAAGCAGUUUUCCCAGGCCGCAAGUUUAACAGAAUUGCAACCUAUGUGUCUGGGUUACAGUUAGCCUUUUUGGACACUUAGCAAAAGAUUCUUGUUUCAGCAUUUAAAAUGUGCUUAUCAUUUGUACCAAUUGAUCUUUCCUGAAAUCAUGCGGUAUUGAGUUAUGUCUUAUUUAAAUCUAUUCCCAUGCCAGAAUCUUAUCAAUAUAUAAGAAAUUUAGAAAGAUUAGGUGCCAAAAUACUCAGCACAAUACUUGUAUAUUUUUAGUAUCGUACAGAACUAAAAUCCCAGGAACUAUGAACACUCUAGACCUUAUAUGGUUUAUUCAUUUCAGACAUUGAAAGUAGGGUCUACAUGGUUAUUUGCCUGCUCACUUUAUGUUUACAUCUACCACAUUUAUACCAGUAUACAUCAGCUUUGCUUAACGAUUGAUUUUUUUUAUUAUUAUUUUUACCAAGUCUUACAGUGAUUAUUUAAUGUCUUUCUGUAAAUCUCAUUUUGUGCUAUUACGAACAACCUCCAUUUUGAAAAUCUACAUUGUACAGAAGCACAUGUCUUUAAUGUCUUCAGACAAAAAAGCCUUACAGUUAAUUUAAUGUUUGCACUCUGAGGUGCAACUUAACAGGGAGGGCCUGAAAAAAGAAUGGGAGGGGGCUAUUAAAUAUUUUUAGCAAAAUGUUGCCUUUGUCUUGUGCAGAACAUGUAGAAAUAUGCUCUUUAAUUUAGUAAAUAUUUUUUAAAAGGUAGAGAUGCUUUGUUAAUUGUAGCUAAAACAAUUCUUAAUCAUAAAAUUUCUGAAAUUCUUGUAAUUUUUUUUCCAUACUUAUCAGAAGUUGUUUACCAACUUAUUUUUGUUUGAAGUGUGAUUUU